rnacentral:rRNA from 1 species
GCAAAACAGCUAUGGGUCAAGUCCGAUAUCUUUAGGAGAAGUCUUAUUGUGAGGGCGAGUUAUAUAACACCAUAGGACUGGCCGUCCCAUAUGAAAAGAUUAUAUUAGAAUUGAAUGAAGCUUUGUUUAUAUAUUGAUAAUGACAGUAUAUAUAUCGUGUCUUGACUAAUUGCGUGCCAGCAGUCGCGGUAAUACGUAAGAGACUAGUGUUAUUCAUCUUAAUUAGGUUUAAAGGGUACCCAGACGGUCAAUAUAGCUUAUAAAAUGUUAGUACUUGACUAGAGUUUUAUGUAAGAGGGCAGUACUUGAGGAGGAGAGAUGAAAUUUCGUGAUACCAAAGGGACUCUGUAAAGGCGAAGGCAGCCCUCUAUGUAAAAACUGACGUUGAAGGACGAAGGCACAGAGAACAAACAGGAUUAGAUACCCAAGUAGUCUUUGCAGUAAAUGAUGAAUGCCAUAGGUUAGAUUGGUCAAUUAUAGUCUAGGGUUAGUCUAGCAAACUAAUACCCUAUGCUAUAAUCCUAAUAUCUGGUCUAUAAAUGAAAGUGUAAAGCAUUUCACCUCAAGAGUA